rnacentral:rRNA from 1 species
AAUGAACGCUGGCGGCAGGCCUAACACAUGCAAGUCGAGCGGAUGAGGAGAGCUUGCUCUCUGAUUUAGCGGCGGACGGGUGAGUAAUGCCUAGGAAUCUGCCUGGUAGUGGGGGAUAACGUCCGGAAACGGGCGCUAAUACCGCAUACGUCCUACGGGAGAAAGCAGGGGACCUUCGGGCCUUGCGCUAUCAGAUGAGCCUAGGUCGGAUUAGCUAGUUGGUGAGGUAAUGGCGCACCAAGGCUACGAUCCGUAACUGGUCUGAGAGGAUGAUCAGUCACACUGGAACUGAGACACGGUCCAGACUCCUACGGGAGGCAGCAGUGGGGAAUAUUGGACAAUGGGCGAAAGCCUGAUCCAGCCAUGCCGCGUGUGUGAAGAAGGUCUUCGGAUUGUAAAGCACUUUAAGUUGGGAGGAAGGGCAGUAAGUUAAUACCUUGCUGUUUUGACGUUACCGACAGAAUAAGCACCGGCUAACUUCGUGCCAGCCGCCGCGGUAA